rnacentral:rRNA from 1 species
ACAGGCUUAACACAUGCAAGUCGAGGGGAAACGACAUCGAAAGCUUGCUUUUGAUGGGCGUCGACCGGCGCACGGGUGAGUAACGCGUAUCCAACCUGCCCAUCACUUGGGGAUAACCUUGCGAAAGUAAGACUAAUACCCAAUGACGUCUCUAGAAGACAUCUGAAGGAGAUUAAAGAUUUAUCGGUGAUGGAUGGGGAUGCGUCUGAUUAGCUUGUUGGCGGGGUAACGGCCCACCAAGGCGACGAUCAGUAGGGGUUCUGAGAGGAAGGUCCCCCACAUUGGAACUGAGACACGGUCCAAACUCCUACGGGAGGCAGCAGUGAGGAAUAUUGGUCAAUGGGCGAGAGCCUGAACCAGCCAAGUAGCGUGCAGGAUGACGGCCCUAUGGGUUGUAAACUGCUUUUAUAAGGGAAUAAAGUGAGUCUCGUGAGACUUUUUGCAUGUACCUUAUGAAUAAGGACCGGCUAAUUCCGUGCCAGCAGCCGCGGUAAUACGGAAGGUCCGGGCGUUAUCCGGAUUUAUUGGGUUUAAAGGGAGCGUAGGCCGGAGAUUAAGCGUGUUGUGAAAUGUAGACGCUCAACGUCUGCACUGCAGCGCGAACUGGUUUCCUUGAGUACGCACAAAGUGGGCGGAAUUCGUGGUGUAGCGGUGAAAUGCUUAGAUAUCACGAAGAACUCCGAUUGCGAAGGCAGCUCACUGGAGCGCAACUGACGCUGAAGCUCGAAAGUGCGGGUAUCGAACAGGAUUAGAUACCCUGGUAGUCCGCACGGUAAACGAUGGAUGCCCGCCGUUGGUCUGAAUAGGUCAGCGGCCAAGCGAAAGCAUUAAGCAUCCCACCUGGGGAGUACGCCGGCAACGGUGAAACUCAAAGGAAUU